rnacentral:rRNA from 1 species
UACGGAGGGUGCGAGCGUUGUCCGGAAUCAUUGGGCGUAAAGGGCGCGUAGGUGGCCCGGUAAGCGUGCGGUGAAAGCUCGGGGCUCAACCCCGAGUCGGCCGUGCGAACUGCUGGGCUUGAGCACUGUAGAGGCAGGCGGAAUUCCGGGUGUAGCGGUGGAAUGCGUAGAGAUCCGGAAGAACACCGGUGGCGAAGGCGGCCUGCUGGGCAGUAGCUGACGCUGAGGAGCGAAAGCAUGGGGAGCAAACAGG